GACGAACGCUGGCGGCGUGCUUAACACAUGCAAGUCGAGCGGUAAGGCCCUUUCGGGGGUACGACGAGCGGCGAACGGGUGAGUAACACGUGGGUGACCUGCCCUCAGCUCUGGGAUAAGCCUGGGAAACCGGGUCUAAUACUGGAUAUGACUCCAUGACGCAUGUUGUGGGGUGGAAAGCCUUGUGCGGCUGAGGAUGGGCCCGCGGCCUAUCAGCUUGUUGGUGGGGUGAGGCCUACCAAGGCGACGACGGGUAGCCGGCCUGAGAGGGCGACCGGCCACACUGGGACUGAGACACGGCCCAGACUCCUACGGGAGGCAGCAGUGGGGAAUCUUGCGCAAUGGGCGAAAGCCUGACGCAGCGACGCCGCGUGAGGGAUGA
rnacentral:rRNA from 1 species